UGGAUCCCUUGCCUAUGAUGUGGUCUGUCCCAGGCCCGAGAACUGUCACGCCUGGAUGUCUGUCUGGACAGAGCUGGGAGCACCACCACAGCAGCAGGUCAGGACAAACUAGAGCUGGAGCUUGUGCUGAAGGGGUCAUAUGAGGACACACAGACAUUUGCCCUGGACACAGCCUCUGCCUUCAGCUUCCACUACAUGAGGGGCCAAGAUACAGCACUGAAUGGGUGCCUGAGGAGCUCUGGAAACAAUGGCUGGACCUCCCACACCUCAGCUGUACCCCUCAAUGUACCCCUGAAGUCCUUGACCACAGGGAAGGAGGUGACUGUAGACAUUCCUGCUACUAAUG